UAGGGAAUCUUCCGCAAUGGACGAAAGUCUGACGGAGCAACGCCGCGUGAGUGAUGAAGGUUUUCGGAUCGUAAAACUCUGUUGUUAGGGAAGAACAAGUUGGGUAGUAACUGACCCAACCUUGACGGUACCUAACCAGAAAGCCACGGCUAACUACGUGCCAGCAGCCGCGGUAAUACGUAGGUGGCAAGCGUUGUCCGGAAUUAUUGGACGUAAAGCGCUCGCAGGCGGUCUUUUAAGUCUGAUGUGAAAGCCCACGGCUUAACCGUGGAGGGUCAUUGGAAACUGGAGGACUUGAGUACAGAAGAGGAGAGUGGAGUUCCACGUGUAGCGGUGAAAUGCGUAGAGAUGUGGAGGAACACCAGUGGCGAAGGCGACUCUCUGGUCUGUAACUGACGCUGAGGAGCGAAAGCGUGGGUAGCGAACAGG
rnacentral:rRNA from 1 species